rnacentral:rRNA from 1 species
UACAGAGGCCUCGAGCGUUAGGCGGAAUCACUGGGCUUAGAGCGUGUGUAGGCGGACUUCUAAGUACCUUGUGAAAUCCCACGGCUCACCCGUGGAACUGCUUGGUAUACUGGUUGUCUUGAGCCUUCUAGGGGCGAGUGGAACAAAUGGUGGAGCGGUGAAAUGCGUAGAUAUCAUUUGGAACGCCAAUGGUGAAAACAACUCGCUGGGGAAGUGCUGACGCUGAGACACGAAAGCCAGGGGAGCGAACGGG